GAUGAACGCUAGCUACAGGCUUAACACAUGCAAGUCGAGGGGAAACGACAUCGAAAGCUUGCUUUUGAUGGGCGUCGACCGGCGCACGGGUGAGUAACGCGUAUCCAACCUGCCCAUCACUUGGGAAUAACCUUGCGAAAGUAAGACUAAUACCCAAUGAUAUCCCACGAAGGCAUCGGAAUGGGAUUAAAGAUUUAUCGGUGAUGGAUGGGGAUGCGUCUGAUUAGCUUGUUGGCGGGGUAACGGCCCACCAAGGCAACGAUCAGUAGGGGUUCUGAGAGGAAGGUCCCCCACAUUGGAACUGUGACACGGUCCAAACUCCUACGGGAGGCAGCAGUGAGGAAUAUUGGUCAAUGGGCGAGAGCCUGAACCAGCCAAGUAGCGUGCAGGAAGACGGCCCUAUGGGUUGUAAACUGCUUUUAGAAGGGAAUAAAGUGGGUCACGUGUGACUUUUUGCAUGUACCUUAUGAAUAAGGACCGGCUAAUUCCGUG
rnacentral:rRNA from 1 species